rnacentral:rRNA from 1 species
GACGAACGCUGGCGGCGUGCCUAAUACAUGCAAGUGGGACGCAAGAGGACACACUGUGCUUGCACACCGUGUUUUCUUGAGUCGCGAACGGGUGAGUAACGCGUAGGUAACCUGCCUAUUAGCGGGGGAUAACUAUUGGAAACGAUAGCUAAUACCGCAUAAUAUUAAUUAUUGCAUGAUAAUUGAUUGAAAGAUGCAAGCGCAUCACUAGUAGAUGGACCUGCGUUGUAUUAGCUAGUUGGUAAGGUAAGAGCUUACCAAGGCGACGAUACAUAGCCGACCUGAGAGGGUGAUCGGCCACACUGGGACUGAGACACGGCCCAGACUCCUACGGGAGGCAGCAGUAGGGAAUCUUCGGCAAUGGACGAAAGUCUGACCGAGCAGCGCCGCGUGAGUGAAGAAGGUUUUCGGAUCGUAAAGCUCUGUUGUAAGUCAAGAACGUGUGUGAGAGGGAAAGUUCACA